GAAUGACCUCACACACCAGGAAUGAGAAGCCCCCACCAACAAAGGCCUGUUGAUAAUUCUCCUGAGAAAAGGCAUUGAGUCUCAUCUCUUCCCUGACCUGGGGUUAAAGAGUGGACAAUAAUGCUGUUGCCUUCAAGAAUGAGCCAGAGAGGGAAGGUGACCUGAAAAGGUGACAAAGCAAUCAGCGCAAACUACAUCCUUGGGCCAAAUCUAUGACAUCAGCAAAGCUGGGCUUCAAUCCUUGCCUCCCUUUUCCCCUGGUCAGGGUGCUCCUCCCCAAGACAGGAGGCUCCUCAUCCUCGUUCCCUUUUCAAGACCACCUGCUGGGCAACCACCAUUUACUCAUUCAUGCUAAAGGGCCUGAAAAGACUAAUUUUGGAGAAUAUGUGUUGACUGUUCCAACUGUAAGCAUGCUUCCUGCCCUCCCUCCAGGCUGCCCAGCGGUGCCACUGCUGCAAAUCCAGAUGUGA
rnacentral:lncRNA from 1 species